UUGAAUCAAGGUAAGCUCUGACCUCCAGGGAUAGAAAUUCAGCUCUUGCCGGUCGCCUGCCUUGCAGGUUCCUUGUCCGAGUUGAUUAAAAACUGCUGCUGCACGCAGCACCAGCACCAGCCCUGCUUACACUGCCCUACCGCGAGGUUACCAUACCCCGGUUAGCCAGCCAGUAACAGUGGGCUCUCCAAGCCGCGAUUUGAGACGAUGGAGUGGCAAAGACGUACAUCCGCCCCGUAAGUUAUGGGGAACCUUGGCUGACGUCAAGUUUAACAAUCUAUUCUUGUCCAUGCAUGACGGAGGAGCGGACCCAGAGAAAAGAAAACCGAGCAAGGGUAGCAAGGGCGAGUUGGGUAAAGGAUUUUUGGGCUAUUUGGAUUGUUACAGAAAUCCCGACUCGACUUGUUGCGGCAUGCUUGUGAUGAGCUGCUGUGCGUAGAGUCUAUCGAGACUAUUGCGUAUAAAGGGAAAUAAAUGCAGGAGCUGUGUGCAUCGGGAUGUAGGUGAAUCCCUUGAAUUGUUUGGAACCUUUUUGCAGAGGAGGGCGGCGGUGAAGGGCGGCGAGGGUUUCGCGAGCGUAGCGUCCUGGAAGUCGCUCCGCCAGUCUCCGCAGCGUCGGCGAAUCGCUCGACAGAUUAUUUGCCGGUAAUCGUUUUCGCUCCCAAAGGCUUCCAGCAAGCAUAAGCC
rnacentral:lncRNA from 1 species